UGGGGGCGGGCAGAAGGUUCUAGGAGCCAGUACCCCCCUCGCUCCCGGGAUACCCCCUUCCCGCCCGGAGUACUCCUCUCCCGCGGCGGGGCGGGCAGAGGGACGCAGCGCUUCCCUUUCGCCACUCCGAAGGCGCUGUUCGAGAAAUGCCGAGCCGGAGGCCAUUCCUGAGGAGGUGCCCGAGGAAGAGGAAAAGUGGCGCAAACAUCCCUCCGACCACCCCCAGCCCGAGCCCACGCGAAACCCACGCCCUGGGGCGAUGCCGAUGGGAGCGACAGCCGCCGGCUCCGCGGGAGAGGGGGCACAGUGGGGUUCCGCCGCCCCCGGGACCCCGCUCCCGGGCGGAGGCUCGCCCCUUACCUGCCAUUCCCGCCGUCGGGAGGGCUGCCUCCCGCUCCGCUCCUCGCUCCGCUCCGCGCCGCCGUCUCGCCGCCCGGCAGAAUAUGGGCCAGCUGGGAGUCCAUCUCACUGCUCAUUGUGAAUCCAAUCUGGUUGGCUGCUUCUGCAUCACACUUCACAAGAGGACCACUAAAGUCUGCCCUCCACUGCGUAAGAAGGGUCUAAACACACAGAGGUUACAGUGAAUACAGGGGAACAGUGGCUGCUCUCUCCAGAUAUGACCCACACUGUUUAGAAACCAGGAGUGAAUUCAGCUCUUCAACAAAGGACCCGCCUUUGUUUUCUACUGGUGUAUGUUCAAGCAGAAUUUGUUUCUCAGGGAGGGGAACCACAUGGACUGAGGAUGUACACACAAAGAUGGGUAAAUCACACCUGCUUUGGGAAGAAAACAAAUUACUGUCCAAGAGGCAAAGUGAUGGGGGUUGGAGCCUAGAGAAGCAAUAAACCCAGCGGCAUUUCAACUGCAGCAGGCAGCAGCUCACCAAACCCGCCCCUUUUUCCUUAGUGCCUCCUUGCACGCCAAGGCUGCAGCCACCAGAGGUCAAUGUGAUCACACCAACCUCACCCAACUGUUGGGUGCUGCACAGAGCCCCCUUUGAAACUGGGACGUCAAACAGAAAUAUGAAGUAAGAAGUGUUUUCCACCUUUUAGGACAAAAUUUUGGGGCAGAUUUGCAUUAAUUACAGCAUGACCUCAUCACUAUCCAGGAAAAAAGGUCUUGAGAAUAAAGAUCCUGCAAACACUCAGAA